rnacentral:rRNA from 1 species
UCUGAAUCUGCGAACGGCUCCGCAAACCAGUUGUAAACUAGAGCAAGCAAGCCUGGCGGGCUUCGGCCUCCAGGUGAUAUGGAUAACCCUGGUAAUUCUGAGGCUAAUACAUGACCGCAAAACCGGGCAGCCCAGCAAUGGAUGCUCGGGGAUGUGCGAUAUGGCUUGACAAUAACCGGGAAAGGACGCACACUCAGACCGCGCUAAAAAGGAUCGGGACUCUCUUCGGAGAACCUGGCCCCUGCGGCUCUUGCUGUGUGCUUCUGACCUAUCAACUAGACGGCAGCGUAAUGGACAUGCUAUGGU